ACAUACAGCCCGUAACAGAGAAGUGAUCGAAUUGAUGUUUCUUUACCGUCAAAAUUAGCUACGUUAUCGACAAACUUAAUUGAGUAGUGACCAAACUAUUGGUACUUUAACGUUAAAAAGAUUGACAAUGCUGACAAACUUUCAUGUGUCGAUAAUCAAGUUUAAUACCGAUAAUAUUGAAAAUAAUUCUAAUAACAUGAAACAAAAUAUGUCCAUGCACCAUUUCGAUUGGGCGAAAAGUAGUCAUUUCUUCAAAGUCAGAAC
rnacentral:lncRNA from 1 species